UAAGACGUAGGAGGCGAGCGUUGUCCGGAUUCAUUGGGCGUAAAGAGCGCGCAGGCGGCUUGGUAAGUCGGAUGUGAAAAUCCGAGGCUCAACCUCGGACGUGCAUCCGAUACUGCUCGGCUAGAGGUAGGUAGGGGAGAUCGGAAUUCCUGGUGUAGCGGUGAAAUGCGCAGAUAUCAGGAGGAACACCGGUGGCGAAGGCGGAUCUCUGGGCCUUACCUGACGCUCAGGCGCGAAAGCUAGGGGAGCGAACUGGAUUAGAUACCCAGGUAGUCCUAGCUGUAAACGUUGG
rnacentral:rRNA from 1 species